rnacentral:lncRNA from 1 species
GGAAAUUCCAAAGUCAAAAGUCUCAUCCAGACUUGGCAGUCAACAAUAAUAUUAAGUUUCAUCAAUUUUGGAGCAUUUUGAAAUUUUUGAAAUAUUUGAUCCUGUAUCCAUGGUAACAGAGUAGUUCCAAUGAUUGUCAUAAUCAUUCAAAACCUGUAUAUAGUGGACAACUAUAUUGUAUAAAAAUUUGAUGAUUUUAAGUUCAAGCAUACAAAAGUUAUUCACCAAACCCGGAAGUUUUUGGAGCAUUUUGACCUUUUUGCAUUGUUUCCAUGGAAACGGCAGACAUUUUGGAAAUUCCAACGCCAAGUUCCACA